UACGUAGGGUGCAAGCGUUGUCCGGAAUUACUGGGCGUAAAGGGCGUGCAGGCGGCUUGUUAAGUGCAGGGUGAAAGCUCCCGGCUCAACUGGGAGAGGUCCUUGCAUACUGGCGAGCUCGAGGGAGGCAGAGGAAAGUGGAAUUCCCGGUGUAGUGGUGAUAUGCGUAGAUAUCGGGAGGAACACCUGUGGCGAAGGCGGCUUUCUGGGCCUUACCUGACGCUGAGACGCGAAAGCGUGGGGAGCGAACCGG
rnacentral:rRNA from 1 species